rnacentral:rRNA from 1 species
AUUGAACGCUGGCGGCAUGCCUUACACAUGCAAGUCGAACGGUAACGGGCCUUCGGGUGCCGACGAGUGGCGAACGGGUGAGUAAUGUAUCGGAACGUACCUUUCAGUGGGGGAUAACGUAGCGAAAGUUACGCUAAUACCGCAUAUUCUGUGAGCAGGAAAGCAGGGGAUCGCAAGACCUUGCGCUGAUUGAGCGGCCGAUAUCAGAUUAGCUAGUUGGUGAGGUAAAGGCUCACCAAGGCGACGAUCUGUAGCGGGUCUGAGAGGAUGAUCAGCCACACUGGAACUGAGACACGGUCCAGACUCCGACGGGAGGCAGCAGUGGGGAAUUUUGGACAAUGGGGGCAACCCUGAGCCAGCCAUGCCGCGUGAGUGAAGAAGGCCUGCGGGUUGUAAAGCUCUUUCGGCCGGGAAGAAAUCGUAUCAGCUAAUACCUGGUGCGGAUGACGGUACCGGCAUAAGAAGCACCGGCUAACUACGUGCCAGCCGCCGCCGUAACAC